rnacentral:rRNA from 1 species
UACGUAGAGUGCAAGCGUUGUCCGGAAUUAUUGGGCGUAAAGAGCUCGUAGGCGGUUUGUCGCGUCUGCCGUGAAAGUCCGGGGCUCAACUCCGGAUCUGCGGUGGGUACGGGCAGACUAGAGUGAUGUAGGGGAGACUGGAAUUCCUGGUGUAGCGGUGAAAUGCGCAGAUAUCAGGAGGAACACCGAUGGCGAAGGCAGGUCUCUGGGCAUUAACUGACGCUGAGGAGCGAAAGCAUGGGGAGCGAACAGG